UCGUACUUCGUACUCUGAAAAUUAUGUAAAUAUUAAUUAAGAGCACGGAAAUCGUUUAUUACAAAACAUUUGUGCAAUCUGAAGUCAUUGAAUUCAGCCACUUGCUUUGGUUAAUCAGUGGAGUGCGAUCCUUCAUUCUUCACCAGGUUGUUACUCACGGCAUAUAUGGAAGAACCUGCUAAAGAAACAAAUCAUGAAAUUGGGAUGAUGCAAGAAGAAGAGAGAGAAAAUGAUGAUUGCAAUCCUAAACAACGGCCGAACACAUCUUUUCUAUCUGAGCUGAACCUCUUAAUGGUGUUAUUUUCAGCAUUUUCUUUACUUGAUGAUGAAAGAUUAAAUUACAUGGAGAGCAAAGGCAAAAAUGCAAAAGACCAAGAAGCUAAAGUUUGCAUAUCAAGAAUACACAGCAACAGACGCGAAGUAAAUGAAGUCAAGCUCAUGAAGCCAUCAGCACCUAGGAUUCACACAACCAUACGCGAUUCCAGGCAUGGCAGAAGAAUGUAACAGAAAAUGUCUACCAAGAAAGGAAUGCCGGUCACCAGGAGAAAAAAGAAUGCAAAGAUCUCACUCAUGAUCUCUAUUUGUAUUGUGUAUGACCAUUGGUAAAAGCAAACCGCAAAAUGUUAUAAAAUUUUUU